UCUUUUAAUUGAGGACUGGGAUGAAGGGUUUAAUACUAAAAAGAAAGUUUUAUUUAAUUAUUUUGAAUUUAAAUUAAAAGUAAAAAUGCUUUUAUAAAAUUUUGGGACGAGAAGACCCUAGAAGCUUAAAAUUUGUCAAAAUUUUUUGUUGGGGUAACAUUUGAAGAUAUAAAUUUUUAGAUAUGAAGUUUAUAUUAAAUUAAAGUUACUCUAGGGAUAACAGCAUUAUUUAAUUAACAAGUUCUUAUUAAUAAUUGAAGUUUGUGACCUCGAUGUUGAAUUAAUUUUUAUUUUGGUGAAGAAGCUAAAGGGAGUUAGUCUGUUCGACUAUUAAAAAAUUACAUGAUUUGAGUUCAAACCGGCGUAAGCCAGGUCG
rnacentral:rRNA from 1 species